GCCCUUUUCCGGUUGAUCCUGUCGGAGGCCAUUGCUAUCAGGGUUUGACUAAGCCAUGCGAGUCGAGAGGUGUAAGACCUCGGCAUACUGCUCAGUAACACGUGGUUAACCUGCCCUAAGGUGGAGCAUACUCCCGGGAAACUGGGGCUAAUCCUCCAUAGUGGAUGUAUCCUGGAAUGGUAUAUCCUCGAAAGAUCCGUCGCCUUAGGAUGGGACUGCGUCCGAUUAGGUUGUUGGCGGGGUAACGGCCCACCAAGCCAUUGAUCGGUACGGGUUGUGGGAGCAAGAUCCCGGAGAUGGAUUCUGAGACAUGAAUCCAGGCCCUACGGGGCGCAGCAGGCGCGCAAACUUUACAAUGCGAGCAAUCGUGAUAAGGAAACCCUGAGUGCCUGUCGAUGCAGGCUGUUCAUAUAUCUAAAUCAUAUGUGAAGAAAGGGCAGGGCAAGACCGGUGCCAGCCGCCGCGGUAAUACCGGCUGCUCGAGUGAUGGCCACUAUUACUGGGUUUAAAGCGUCCGUAGCUUGACUGUUAGGUCUCUUGGGAAAUCUUCGCGCUCAACGUGAAGGCGUCUAAGAGAUACCGGCAGUCUUGGAACUGGGAGAGGUAAACCGUACUUCGGGGGUAGGAGUGAAAUCUUGUAAUCCUCGAGGGACGACCUAUGGCGAAGGCAGUUUACCAGAACAGCUUCGACAGUGAGGGACGAAAGCUGGGGGAGCAAACGGGGAUUAGAUACCCCGGUAGUCCCAGCCGUAAACAAUGUGCGUUAGGUGUGUCGGUAACCACGUGUUACUGAUGCGCCGAAGAGAA
rnacentral:rRNA from 1 species